UUUUUUUUUUUUUUUUUUGUUUUGUUUGUUUGUUUGUUUGUUUUUCGAGACAGGGUUUCUCUGUAUAGCCCUGGCUGUCCUGGAACUCACUUUGUAGACCAGGCUGGCCUCGAACUCAGAAAUCCGCCUGCCUCUGCCUCUGCCUCCCGAAGCGCUGGGAUUAAAGGCGUGCGCCACCACGCCGGCGUUUGUUUUGAAUCUUGUUAUGUAACUAGCUAGCUCUGGUUAGCUUGAGUUCUAGGUAUACCGGCCAUAGAGAAGACAAGCUUGUAGAGUGCCUGUAGUUGGGCUCUCAUGCUCCUCCCUUCUGCAUUCUGACUGCUCCCAAGGUUAUCCGAUGUGCUGAGUUCUUAGCCUCAGAGGGCAAGGCUUCCUUUGUUUGACUUGGCACUGAAGCGGGCAGGGGGCUAAACUAACUAAGGUAGGUAGACUUUCUGUCAGGCUAGACUAAGCUUUUCCCUUUUGUCAUUAGGGGUGGACCUCAGCCUUGUGCUGUACCACAGAGCUACAGCCUCAGCCAAGAAGUAUUUCUGUCACAUAUUUACAUGUUACUUGUUAGAUAGGAUUUAUGGCCAGCAGAUCACUCUAUUAUCAACCACCUAUGGACGAAUUCCAUUAAAAAGUGUUCUUGAAAAAAUGUGUGUGUGUGUGUGUGUGCGUGUGUGUGUGUGCGCAUUUGCCUGCAGAGGCUAGAAAAGGGUGUCAUAUUCUCUGGAACUGGAGUUCCAGGCAGUUGUGAGCCACCUGAUGGGGGAUGCUAGGAAUCUAACUCAGACCUUCCAAAAGAGCACUGCUUGAUCUUAACCAUUAUCCAGCCACAGAGGCAAUGUUCUUACACAUGCAAUCUUGAAAGUAGCAUUGGGCCUUCCUGCAGACGUGGGCUAGGCUCUUGGUAGGCUUCUUCCCUCAGAUGUAUCCCUUAGGCUGUGUUUAGUUUGAGAGCGGGGACAGGAGAGCUUAUAGUCCUUUGGAUGUUGAGAGGGUCAGGAGUAGGAUUUGGGGCCUCCAGAUCUUUGGCCUGAGCUUGGCCAGCUAGUGUUCUGGGUCUGUAGUUUGGACUUAGGUGUCAGGACGUGGACAAUGAAUGGGCAAUAGGAAAAGAACUGGUCAGAGGUCAGCAGGCAGGUGUAGGUUUUAAUUCUAACUCUCUUUUCUUUGCUUUUUAAGACACAUUCUUACACAAUAUCCCAGGCUGGACUGGACAGGCUACUGAAUGGGGCCUUAUUCUUAGCUUUAAUUAAGGUUGGACUCUGGCUUCUGCCGUCAAGAAGAGUUAACUUCAAAAUUCAUCCCAAACAGCUGAAAAUGGUGCCCAUUCUUCUACUGUAGAGCUUGAAACUAUCUCUAAAAAUGGUACUCCCGCCUUCCUCCUAUCACGUUCACAGUCUGUUUCCACACGGUAUCCCAGACUGAUCUAGAACUCAAGGCAAUCCUCCUGUCUCAGCCUCCCGAGUGUAGGUACACGUCACCAUGUGUGAUGACUAUUUUCUUCUUUUUUUUGUUUUUUGUUUUUGUUUUUUUUGAGACAGGACUUCUCUGUGUAGCCCAGGCUGUCCUGGAACUCACUUUGUAGACCAGGCUGGCCUCGAACUCAGAAAUCCACCUGCCUCUGCCUCCUUGAUUAAAGGCAUGAGUCACCACGCCCGGCUUGUUUGUUUUUUGUUUUUUGUUUGUUUGUUUUUGAGACAGUUUCUCUGUGUAUCCCUGGCUGUCCUAGAACUCACUCUGUAGACCAGGCUGGCCUCGAAUUCAGAAAUCCGCCUGCCUCUGCCUCCCAAGUGCUGGGAUUAAAGGCGUGCGCCACCACCGCCUUUGUAUUUUCUUCUUAAUGUAACUGAAUUUUCUUUGUUAAUGGCAUAGUCUUGGGUGGCUUCCCAGCACACUAUAAGUAUUUAAGAUCAAAGGAGAGGGCUGGAGAGAUGGCUCAGCACUUAGGACUGACACCUUUUCCAGGAGACCGGAUUCUGGUUUGAUUCCCAGUAUCUACAUGGUAGGUCACAACUGCCUGUAGUUUCAGGGUCUCCAGUGCCCUCUUCUGGUCUCUGUGGACAUCAAACCUGCUCAUGGUACACUCACUGGUAUACAUGCAGACAAACACCAUACAUAAAAUUAAACUGAAUUAACAGAUGCUAAAGGAGAGCUUGAUCUUGAUGUUGCUGUCCCUCACCUUUAUCCCUGGGAAGCCAGAGAUGUGGCACUGAACCAUGGUACUCGAGACAUCUUUAUUACUUGUUUGUUCAGUAUAUGUGUGUGUCUGUACAUCCUCCUUUCCCAGCCCUGCCCCCUUGCUUACCACCUUAUUUCUUGAGAUAAUUCCUCUUAAUGAACCUAGAAAUGCUGGCUUGGCUACAGUAGCUGACCAGCAAGUGCCAAGGAUCUUCCUGUUUGUCUUGUAGGUGCUGGCAUUAUAGGCUGCCAUGGCUGGUCUUUUUCACUUCAGUACUGGAGUCCUUAGCUGAUCCAUCUCCUUAGCCUAUGAGAAUUCUUCAAGACCUGGAUAGUGUGUCAUUGCUUGUCCAUAAUCCCAACAUUGGUGAGGCUGAGGCAGGAGAAUCACUAUGAAUUUGAGGUCAGCCUAAGCUAUCUGGUAAAUUCAAGGCCAGUUUGGGCUACAGAGUAAGAUGCCACCUCAAACAAUAAAAAACAAAGAAGAAAAUCUCACCGCCCCUAUAAAAGUAAAACCUAAAUAAAUAAAUCAAGCAAGCUGGAGAAGAGAGACGGCUCUGUGCUUAAAGCACUGGCUGCUCUUGUCGAGGUCCCAAGUUUGACUCCCAGUUUCUACAUGGUGGCUCACAACCAUCUGUAACUCCAGUUCCAGGGGAUCUAAUGCCCUCCUCUGGCCUCUCAGGCACUGCACACAUGGGACACACAGACAUGUGCAGGCAAAAGACCCAUAUACAUAAAAUAGAGAUAAAGGAAAAUAAUUAAAAAUAAGUAAAUCUUCAAAGCCAGAGAAGCGGAAGUGCCUGCUUAGCACUCGGGAGCAGUGGCUGCUGUUGCUCUUCUGGCAGACGUCACCUUACAGAGUAGGCAGGGAGAGGCUGGGGCUUAAACAAAAGCCAUUGCUGAGCCAGUGGUGUAGAGAGCAGUUAGGAUUUCUUGCUUUUAUCCAAGUCUGAGUCUAACUGCUGCUGUUUAACUUAGCCAAGCCUAUCUGUGUGUUCUGAUAGGCUCCUGUCAGUUUCCUUCUGGGUGAGGAUACCUGUGUUAUAAUUGCCAGGAGUAAAUGUGCAUAGGUAGCUGCUAGUAGUCUUGAGUGGGUCUCAGGUUUGUGUCAUCAGAGCCAGCUGAAGGACUGCUAAAACACACGUGCGCCCGACCCCAGCACGCCUCAUUCUCGGUCUCUAGGGCGUGGUGGUAAACUGCACUUUUCAGGAGUUGCUGAUGCUGCCGGUAUGACUGACUACUUUGAGUACUGGCUGUUGUGUACCAUGUGCUGUGUGAGGAAGAAGUUAGUUGACUUAUGAGCCUUUCUCUUAAGAGAUCUAAGUUUCUGCAGGAUUGCACAUGAGGAUUUCAAAAAGCCAGAGCGGAGGGAACUGGCCACUGGCUGGGAACCAGGAAGCUUUUGCUGAACUGUUACAGGGUCUCAGUGUCUCAGUCAUGUGAGCUGACUGCCUGGGGCUCACUAGGUAGGAAGAUACUUCUGUUACAGUGUGGAGAUGGGUAUGGUGGCCUACACUUGUGGUCCUAGCACUCGGGAGGUUGAGGUUGGAUGUUAACUCCGAGAUCAAGCCAACCCUUGCUACACAGCCUGUACCAGGCUAGUUGAGUUACAUUAUGAGAUCCCGUCUUUAAAACAAAACAACUUGUGAGCUGGUAAGAGCCAGCAUUACUGUACAGCUGCUAUUUUCAACUACAUUAUUU
rnacentral:lncRNA from 1 species